UACCCUUUUACAGACAUAUUCCACUUUUCAAGCACUAAGAAUAGUCGAGCGCGCUGUUUUAACGAACAACUCUCGUUUAUGAAGAGCAUUAUAUAUCAUUAUGUACAUGUAUUUUAGCAUGCAACGUUUGGUGUGCAUGUAUAUAAUUUCCAUAAAUAUGAAUGACUUGCUUUUUUUAUAAUUAGUAAAACAUGAAAACGUGGCAUUUCAUAGCAAUCAUAUCAAUGGUAGGAUACUACGUCAUCGCGCACCUGCUAAAUGCUCCCACUUGGACCAUUUUUUCGUCGACUCGAAGAAAGUAUUUGUAUUUGUGACCAGUAUGGGAAAAGGUAUUAACCACAUUGCGACGUAAGGAAGCACAUGGCAGGACAUCUUGGCACGGCAAAGCUUGAGCAAAUAUUUUAGAUACCAACUGUGGAUAUAUCUCAUUGAGGAGGAAUACUCUAGAAAACACAAGAAUAAUAGUUCUUUGAAGUAAUUGUCUUUUGUUCAGUUUUUUGCGUUAAUUUUUGGACAAUGUGUCAUAAAUGAUCAAUUCAUCUGAAAUUUCACUGGAGGAUAGAUUUCAAUAAAGAAAUAAA